GGUAGGGGACGGCGGUGGGGUGAGAUUGGAGAGGAUGGGUGUGUGGCGCGACAGAGGUGGGGUCGGGGGUAGGGUUGCAGCCAUAGGUCGCAGGUCACCGGAGCCGACGUCUAGUAAGGAGAGGAGAUGGGCCAGCGCAAUCUAAGGAAAGUGUUAUUAUUUAAAGAAACCAAUGAAAAUCUUUUCUCAAUGCACUUUCUGGCUGCAUAAAUUACGUUCAACCCGCAACACCAAAAGGGUCCAUGGACCUAAUUCUAGUCUAGGUAUCAUACCGCAUAUGUUUCUCACUAAAGCCAAGGACAGCGAAGGAAUAUUACCCAAACAACAAGAACAUGCUAAGAAAAAUAGCAACACAACAAUACUCUUUCAUGGUGUAAGGAAGUGAAUUCUCGAAAUCCGAGGAUUGUACUUCAUUCAGGAUCGACUAACUGUCGAGAGAAUACCCUUUGUGGGAGUUGAAAAUGUCCAAAACACAAAAAGUGCUUUGGAGUUGAGUCCGCGAGAGCAAAUAAGCAAAAAUCUGGACUUGGCAGACUCUGCUCUCGGGGACGGGUCCCCCUCCAGGGACCGAUCCCCGUAGCUACAGUAGCAGGGUUGCUCGAUGCAACCGGUCCCUGGUAGGGAGGGACCGGUCCCUGUAGGUGAAAACCGGAAAAAAUGUCGAAAUUUGGCUAAGUCCUGAAAAUCGAGCUCUCGGGGACCGGUCUCUCAGGUGAGGACCGGUCUCCCGAGGACCGGUCUCCCGGGGAGAGACCGGUUCCCGAGCGCGUGCGCCCAAGGGAGGCCCUCGGGGACCGGUCCCAAGUCGGGGAGACCGGUCCCUCCGCGCGAAUUCUGCCCAGUAAAGGCAGUGCACAGGAUUAAAAGUUGAGGGGUUUUUAUGCAAAAUGGCAUUAGUUAGGGGGGGAUUAGAGGGGCUGAGCCCUCUUCCUCUCUCACCCUCACUCACACUCUCUCCCUCUCUUUCUCUCUUGCUCUCUCUCUCUCUAGAAAAGAAAGGAGAAGAAGAGAAACAAGAAGGAAAGGAAGAAGAAGAACAAGAAGGAGAAGAAGAAGGAGAUCAAGAGGAAGGCUUUGGACACCUUCAUCUCCCUCUCAUCUUCUCUUUGGAGUAGCUCUAGAGGUAAGCUACUAAACCAUAGCUUGUAAAACUUAGGGUUUUUGGGUUUUGAGCUUUGAAAUGGGUCAAAUGGACCCUAAGCAUGCUUCUAAGUAGAUCAAUCCCAAGAAUCUAGGGAUUUAUUGGAUGGUUUGCUAUAGGUGCAAACCUAGGGCUCCAAAAUGGGGUUUUUGAGAAGUAUGAGAUUGAUCUCAUUUGAAGCCUUGGAAACCUAAUUGCUAGGUCACAAAACGUGGGGGCGAAGUCGGUUUUAGCAUUCGGCGAGCCGGCGUGAAGUUCUCGGCACAAUAGGGCCGAAUUAGCAUUGACUUGGGCAAGGAAGGCUAAAGCCUUUUCGUGGGGUUCGCCGAGAAGAAUUUCCAAAGCCUCUACAUCGAUUAAAGGUGGGGGGUACCAUCCCGAAGCUUUCGAACUCCUUUCUAUGUCUUAGAUUGCAUUUAAUCUCAUCUCUUACAUGUUGCAUUGUAGGAUUGUAUAGUAACUCCAUUCCUUAUGCUUUCUAAUUGAUAACCUAGUGUACUUGGAACGCUUGGUAACUUAGAUAGGUGAGGAUUGAGUCGGAACGUGAAUCCUAUGAUGCGAGAGAAAAGAGAUGAACCCGAUGGGGGUGUUGAUGACAUAGAAAAUAGUGUUAAUGUUAAAGAACAAACGAGUGGCAUCCAAAUGUUAAAUGAUGACGAGUGGCAUUAAUGUAGCGUAAAUGACGCUAGAGGUUUGAGAACCUAGGGAUAGAUGGAUCCCUUAGAAAAUGCCUUGUGGACAAGAACUUAGCAAACCUAAGUAACCUCACAUGGAGAGGUUGUCGAUGAGUCGAUUGAGACAUUGACCCUAGUGAUAGGGCUUCCUCACUUAGAGAGGAUUGAUUGGGUUGUGGACCCUAGUAGUAGUACUUCCUCACUUGGAGAGGAUUGGAUUGGGUUGUGACCCUAGCUGUAGGGUGUCCUCACUUGGAGAGGAUAGAUCUAGCUCACAGUCUGCUUUUGGGGUGGUAUAGCCAUCCAUAUCCCCACAUGGAGGGGAUUGUCGUCGAGUACUCCGGAGUGUCGCGCGACUAGGACCACUUGGAGGUCCGGACCACAUGGAGGUCCGCAGACGGUCCCGGGCUUGGGUGCACUUGGAGCUCCCUCCCCACUUUGGGAUUGAAAGGUGAGUUAUAGGCGAGCCCUAGGGCCUUGCCACGGAUUGGGUAAAUGGACAACAAAAGGUUUAAUAAUGUCAUUGAACAUUGCUAUUCGAACAUGGAUCGAAUUUGUUAGUAUGGUAGUAAACCUUUAUUAUAUGAUGCAUGCAUUCAUAUUCAUGAUUAUGGGCAUAGUAGUAUAGUUUUCCUACUAUUGCAUUUACAGUUUUUAGAUACAUAUCUAUCUAUCUAUCUGUUAUUACUUAUGCCCACUUGGACCUAGUGGGGAGAUCGGCAGAGUCGGCGGCCGAGCCCACUGGGAACUAUGGAAGAUAGUUCUCACCCCACUCUAUUUCCAGUGGUAGGUACAGGGCUGCCGAGGGAGGACCGCGGCAAGGGCAUCGCGCCCGACCAGUGAGACUGUGAUAGUAUAGUAGCUUUCCUUUUUGCAUUAGUACACCUAUGUAUUGAGAGAGAUUCAUUGUAGGUGAGGACUAUGGGGAGUUAUGUAUUUUGGGUGAAAGAUGUAAUCAUUUAAAGAAAAUGAUGUAAAUGAAAAGAAUGAACUAUUGUAAUAGUUAGCAAAGUACUCUCUUUAUUUCACAUGCUUUAUCUUGUGGAUUACUUGCUCUUGUAGUUGCUGGCACUAUUUGUACCCCGUCGAAUGUGUAUGUUUAGAAUUUAAAUUCCUGGGGAAUUCUUGUACACAUUCUUGUUGUGAGCCUUGGGCGGACAUGGGAGGUGCUGUCCGUUCGGCGGUCCGCUCGGCGCGCCCGAAUCAUGCCAAAUUGGUAGUGGUUUCGGGGCGGGGCAUGACGUGACACAUGGGUACAUCAACUAUAUCCAUAAGUCUUAAGUUCCUCCAAAGCUACAAUUCACAAACUCCUAUAAUUCAUCAAGAAACAUUCAGUUUGCUUAAGAUAUCAAGCCAAUUAGCAUCCUUAAUUUCAUCUCAGUUUGGCUGGAUAUUAGAUUAUAAAGUUACCAUGUAAAGACUAAUGCCUCCAUUUCAGCUCAUUUUUCUCCAGUUUACUAAGUAAUGGUUCCUAUCAAUCUCAUGUAAAGGAACUUUCACUUAACAGUCAUGUAAGUCUAGUUGGCUUUCCAUUCCCAAUAUUUGUCGUGCAAAUACUAACAAGGAGUAUGCUUACAGUCAUUCAGCUUUUCUUUAUUACAAUUCCUUUGUCACAUUUACUCUUUGCAGAAUAGUUCACCUACAAAGUAAUUGGAAAAGAACAUAAAGUAUGCCAAUUUUACGAAAAAGACUACUACAGAAUUAGUACAAUUGUUCUUUAUUCUCUGGUUGAACUAGUGAAAUUGGGUUUUUCUAUUUAAUGCACUUGGAAAUAAACAGAUAGAUUGACC
rnacentral:lncRNA from 1 species